rnacentral:rRNA from 1 species
AUGCUGUCAUGUCGGCUCUGUGAUCCAGAGACAGGCGAGUGCCCUGUCCGGUAUGAUGUGCAGUCCGAGGACCUGCCAGUGCUGGACGACAAGGUUGCUGCCGUGCUUGGCUGCAUGCUGGCAUUGCUGAACCAAGGUAGGACAGAGGUGCUUGCAGGACGGUCAGGUGUCGCGAGCGCGCGAUGGAUAGGAUUCCACCACUGGCCUUGUUCCGUGGUGAUAUGA